GACGGAAGGUGCAAGCGUUGCUCGGAAUCACUGGGCGUAAAGGGUGCGUAGGCGGCUUCUUAAGUCUGGUGUGAAAGCCCAGGGCUCAGCUCUGGAAGUGCACUAGAAACUGGGGAGCUUGAGUACCGGAGGGGAGAGUGGAAUUCCUGGUGUAGCGGUGAAAUGCGUAGAUAUCAGGAGGAAUACCGGUGGCGAAAGCGACUCUCUGGACGGUUACUGACGCUGAGGAGCGAAAGCGUGGGGAGCGAACAGG
rnacentral:rRNA from 1 species